rnacentral:misc_RNA from 1 species
AGCACAUUGAUCUUGGAAUUAAGUGAGUCUUUAUACGGUUGAUUAUGUUUUAAUAUCUCGUAUUUAUUGAAAAUGUGAAUGCUUUUUCCGGUUUAUGAAUUCAUGUUGUAAUUAAUCCUUGGUUAAUAAGGGUUGGAUAUAGUCAUAUGAAUAGGCUCUGAUGCUUGUUCACUGUUGCUCUGUAGGCCCUAAGCUAGAACUUAGACAAGUAAGACAGUUGCAGUAAUUUUAGGUGCUGAUUUGGCUGCUUAGGUUUCUGUUGGAAUGGUGUGGCAUGUAUAACAUUUUGGAGCUUAUGCCAAGACACAUGCAUAUUGCUAGCGUGUAGUCUGAGCCUAGUUGUUGGUUAAGUUGGAAUGUAAUUAACUCAGAUUCUAGGUUCCACCAUUCUCAUCUGCUUAUAAUAUUUUCCAACUCUUACAUGUGUUAUAUUGAUUCAGUUUUAUGGUUCAUUUCAAAUUUAUUGUGUUACAUAAAUUUUGAUUUCUUGAAAAAAUGGGCAGAUGCCACGCUCACUCUUUUCAUAUUUGUGGGUCAUUCAUAUUUUGGGUUCAUAUUAUGGAGAAACAGUGGAAUUUUGUAUGACAUCUGUUUGAUUGUAUUUACCAUAGACUUUGCACUGCCCACUAGUGAAGGUGAAAUUGACUUAAGGCUGUGCUUUUCUAAGUCUCUUCCAGUAUCAACAAUGAUGGACACUAUUAUUCUUGUAGUGGCAUCUAUGUAAUUAUGUUCAGGAUGGACUUCUUUAUGUAUUCCUUGUUCAAAUAAAUAAUUUUACUAGCUAGGUUUGCAUUUUUGUUUACAUAAUUGUAUGUGGACUACAUGUCUGCGUGGUGUUGGUUGGUUCUAUUUUAGUUCUCCAUUUUGUGGUCUUUUUGCUUGAUAGUUGUAACAAAGCAUUUGAUAAAAACCUUGUAUUUUCAAGUUCAAUGUUCUAAAUAUAGAGGAUUUUCAUGCCUCAGGAUGUUCAUUUUGAUGCAAUAAGGAUAAAUAAUUGAACUUAUUGCUUAACUGACUUUAAUACCUAACAACUCUUAUCAGGUAUGACCCAUCAACUGGUAUAUA